rnacentral:lncRNA from 1 species
GUCAGGGUUUUAUCAGAAAAAUAGAAGCCACUCUGUAUCUUCCAAGUAUGAAGAAUUUUAAGACAGUAGAAUAAGACCACCAGAGAAGCAAAGACUAGCCUGGAGCAUGGAAGGAAAAGAUUCUCAAGAGCUCACCUGGGAGACAGCAAAGCUUAUGAACUCUAAGAUGCUCCUGACACCUGUCUCAGCCUGAAGCACAAUACAGGCAAUUCUCAAAAAGUUCAUCUGGAAGCUGCUUCGAACUCCUUAUUUCUCUGGGCAUCUGCCUAUAACUGCCUCUGGAAAAUACUGGUCUCACCUCUCUUCCCCCUUCCUGAUGUGAGUAUCUCUCAUUGGAUGGUCUCCCCUGGAACUUCACAGAGGAGAGGAUUCUGCAAAAGCAGCCAUUUGGUUUCUCUUCUUCAAAGCAGGGAGACAAUAAAAGGGUUGGCAGAGAUGUUCAAUAACAAGAGAAAUAGUUCAGCACCUAUAUCCUACAAUCACUAAAACCAGUUACAUUUGUGACAUUGAUGACAUUGAAUGUAACAGACACUUCAUUCACUGGGCAGAAAUGCCCUUCCUAUAAAAUCCCAGCAGCUAAAUGAUAAUGCAAGUUCACUAUAGUCCAUACAAUAAGAGUUAUGACUGCAGCUAAGCUGUUUGCAUUACUUUUUUAUGACUGUUAAGUAGGUAGAUGAGUCAUAUCCUUGUGUCCUACACAUAACCCAUUAAAAGCAACAGGCCUCUACAGACCUGGGGAAAAAGCAGGACAGUCUUAAACUCUUAGAUUUAAUUCCUGGCAGAGGUGCUAUAAGUCAAAAUGAUGUAAACUGAAUCAGAUUUUCCAGCAGAAACUAAGCCACUUUCAUUACAAACAGCCUGAAGACUAACUUUUUAUGGAGAAUGACCACAAAUGCCACAAUUAAUUAAAUUCAAAUUGUAUAUAUAUAUAUAUAUAUAUAUAUAUAUAUAUAUAUAUAUAUAUACACACACACACACACACAUACAUAUAUGUGUAUGUGAACUUAAUGUAAGCCUUAAAAAAUGUAUAGACAGCAAAUAGAGUAAUAUGGAAGUCAACCGCUAGAGUAUGAUAAUUAAUUAAACUGUUAACACCUUUUAAUAGUUUUGUUUUAUUUACCACAAUGAAUGAAAUUACAUUUGUUCAGGGAAUCUUGAAGUACAUUCUGAUAGGAAUCUUUAAAUAGAUCUUUGAAGAAACUUAGAAUAUGUAAUGUUAUUUUGAGAAAUAAAUCCAAAGAUGUAUGCUUGUCAGUGUAGAUCUGUUUAAAGCCAACAUAUGGAUAAUUCAACAAAUGAUAAUGCAACAAAUAACUCCAUAUUUGAAUUGUUUUACCUUCUCAACUAUGGUCAUGUAAGAAGUAGUUACUUAUUUACUUAUAUCCUCAUCUUAUGUGAGGCAUGCAUUUUUUAAAAAAUAUAUAUUUUCUUUUAAAAUGCAUAACUUUAAUUUGCACUGAAAUUUCCACUAUUUAUCCCCUGUUACAUUGUUGCAGAGUGUCAAGAUCUCUCAGUUCCUGGCCUGAAAUACUAGCCAGAGUCAGUCACAUACAUUAUUAGGUUGAUCGUGAGUCCAGAAGUAAGCCUUUUUAAUCUAUAGUAGAAGGAAUCCACUAAUGGAGAAAUGUACUGUCUGUUUAAAAAAAAAUGUAAAUGAAAGAGUGAAUAGUUAGAAUACUUGUAAGUUAAAAAGCUGCAUCUUGGGCUGGGGAUGUGGCUCAAGCGGUAGCGCACUCGCCUGGC